UACGUAGGGUGCGAGCGUUGUCCGGAAUUAUUGGGCGUAAAGAGCUCGUAGGCGGUGUGUCACGUCGGCCGUGAAAACCUGCAGCUUAACUGUGGGCGUGCGGUCGAUACGGGCAUCACUGGGGUUCGGCAGGGGGAGACUGGAAUUCCUGGUGUAGCGGUGAAAUGCGCAGAUAUCAGGAGGAACACCGGUGGCGAAGGCGGGGUCUCUGGGCCGAUACUGACGCUGAGGAGCGAAAGCGUGGGGAGCAAACAGG
rnacentral:rRNA from 1 species